rnacentral:rRNA from 1 species
GAGUGGACUCCUACGGGAGGCAGCAGUGGGGAAUAUUGGACAAUGGAGGAAACUCUGAUCCAGCAAUUCUGUGUGCACGAAGAAGGUUUUCGGAUUGUAAAGUGCUUUCAGUAGGGAAGAAGAAAGUGACGGUACCUACAGAAGAAGCGACGGCUAAAUACGUGCCAGCAGCCGCGGUAAUACGUAUGUCGCAAGCGUUAUCCGGAAUUAUUGGGCUUAAAGGGCAUCUAGGCGGUUUUUCAAGUCAGGGGUGAAAACUUAUGGCUCAACCAUAAGCUUGCCUUUGAAACUGAAAAACUAGAGUACUGGAAAGGUGGGUGGAACUACACGAGUAGAGGUGAAAUUCGUAGAUAUGUGUAGGAAUGCCGAUGAUGAAGAUAACUCACUGGACAGAAACUGACGCUGAAGUGCGAAAGCUAGGGGAGCAAACAGGAUUAGAUACCCUUGUAGUCCUAG